rnacentral:rRNA from 1 species
GAUGAACGCUAGCUACAGGCUUAACACAUGCAAGUCGAGGGACCGGCGCACGGGUGAGUAACACGUAUCCAACCUGCCCUUUACUCGGGGAUAGCCUUUCGAAUGAAAGAUUAAUACCCGAUAUAAUGGAUGGGGAUGCGUUACAUUAGGUUGUUGGUGAGGUAACGGCUCACCAAGCCUUCAAUGGAUAGGGAGUCUGAGCGGAAGGUCCCCCACGUUGGAACUGAGACACGGUCCAAACUACUACGUGAGACAGCAGUCGGGAAUAUUGGUCAAUGGGCGCUAGCCUGAACCAGCCAAGUAGCGUGAAGGGUGAAGGCUUAUGGGUCGUAAACUUCUUUUAUAAAAGAAUAUGUAUUAAAUGAAUAAGGAUCGGCUAACUCCGUGCCAGCAGCCGCGGUAAUAC